rnacentral:rRNA from 1 species
UUCGGUGGGGAUUAGUGGCGAACGGGUGAGUAACACGUGGGCAAUCUGCCCUUCACUCUGGGACAAGCCCUGGAAACGGGGUCUAAUACCGGAUAACACUCCCUCUCUCAUGGGUGGGGGUUAAAAGCUCCGGCGGUGAAGGAUGAGCCCGCGGCCUAUCAGCUUGUUGGUGAGGUAAUGGCUCACCAAGGCGACGACGGGUAGCCGGCCUGAGAGGGCGACCGGCCACACUGGGACUGAGACACGGCCCAGACUCCUACGGGAGGCAGCAGUGGGGAAUAUUGCACAAUGGGCGAAAGCCUGAUGCAGCGACGCCGCGUGAGGGAUGACGGCCUUCGGGUUGUAAACCUCUUUCAGCAGGGAAGAAGCGAAAGUGACGGUACCUGCAGAAGAAGCGCCGGCUAACUACGUGCCAGCAGCCGCGGUAAUACGUAGGGCGCAAGCGUUGUCCGGAAUUAUUGGGCGUAAAGAGCUCGUAGGCGGCUUGUCACGUCGGGUGUGAAAGCCCGGGGCUUA